rnacentral:rRNA from 1 species
UACGUAGGGGGCUAGCGUUGUCCGGAAUCAUUGGGCGUAAAGCGCGUGUAGGCGGUUCGGUAAGUCCGCUGUGAAAGUCGGGGGCUCAACCCUCGAAUGCCGGUGGAUACUGUCGGACUAGAGUACGGAAGAGGAGUGUGGAAUUCCUGGUGUAGCGGUGAAAUGCGCAGAUAUCAGGAGGAACACCAAUGGCGAAGGCGGAUCUCUGGGCCUGUUCUGACGCUGAGGCGCGAAAGCUAGGGGAGCGAACAGG